UCCAGUUUGACACUGGCAGUCUCCCUAGAGUGCCCAACUUAAUGCUGGCAACAAGGGACGUGGGUUGCGCUCGUUGCGGGACUUAACCCAACAUCUCACGACACGAGCUGACGACAGCCAUGCAGCACCUGUGUAUCGGUCUCCGAAGAGAAAGCCUGCUUUCACAGAGCGAUCCCAUACAUGUCAAGACCAGGAUAAGGUUCUUCGCGUUGCGUCGAAUUAAACCACAUGCUCCACUGCUUGUGCGGGUCCCCGUCAAUUUCUUUGAGUUUUAAUCUUGCGACCGUACUCCCCAGGCGGGAUGCUUAACGCGUUAGCUCCGUCACUGAGAGGGUUAACACUCCCAACGACAAGCAUCCAUCGUUUACGGCGUGGACUAC
rnacentral:misc_RNA from 1 species